rnacentral:misc_RNA from 1 species
CGAGCAGGAGGACGACCUCGUCGUUGCUGACCAGCGCGACGUAGUAGCCGCCGGCAGGCUCCGGGCUGCUGCCCGCCGCCGCGAACUUGGCCGAGCGCAGGUCCCAGAACAUGUCGACGCGGUCGCCGCCGCCCACGUCGAGCGCCUUGCCGCCCUUCUUGCUCCAGAACGGCCACGGCUUCAGCUCCACCCUGUGGGUGACCGGCCCGUCGCCGUCGCCCGGCCGUUCGAUGGAGACGGUGAAGGACUGGUUGAUGAGGCUCUUGCUCCAGACGGCGGUGACGUGGCGCGCGGCGCCGUUGAUCUUGGCGAGGAACACCGACACCGUGGAGCACUGCGCCGCCGCGGCGCCCGCCGUCCUGCCGGUGGCGGAGUCGUCGAAGGACGUCGCGGCAUUGCUGCACCCGACGCGCUCCUCCAUCUUCCUGUACGGCUCGCAGGAUUUGGAUCGCUUGUGCAUGAUCAAAAAUCAAUCUCCCGAAUCGCUACGGAUUAUUAGGAAUAAGAUCAACCGCGUUAGCAUGCAGCGUUCGCCCCACGUUCGUCUUCGCGUUCGUCAAGCAUGCUGGGAGAUUGGAUCAAGAACUAGGCUCCUCCAUAUGCUCGAUCCUCAUGGGCUGCAUGCGUGGGCACGAACGGC